AUGACUUUAAUCCCCAUCUUCAUCUGGACACUGAUCCUCUGGACUCAAGGAGAAACAGUCACCAUCAACUCUAGAACCAGUCCGGCUGUGUACAACGGCUCAUCUGGUGACAACCUAUACUGGUAUCAGCAGAAACCUGGAGAAGCUCCUAAACUCCUGAUUAAAUGUGCAAAUCAGCUACAGUCAGGUUUUCCAGCUCAUUUCAGUGGCAAUGGAUCUGGAUCUGAUUUUACUCUGACCAUCAGUGGAGUCCAGACUGAAGAUGCAGCAGAUUACUACUUACACAGUUCAACCAUGCUCUCGAUUCUCCCAUAG